ACGAACGCUGGCGGCGUGCCUAAUACCUGCCAGUUGCGCGCUUAAGGUUGGUACUUGUCCCAACUGGAUGAGCAGCGAACGGGUUAGUAACGCGUGGGGAAUCUGCCUUUGAGCGGGGGUCAACAUUUGGAAACGAAUGCUAAUACCGCAUAAAAACUUUAAACACAAGUUUUAAGUUUGAAAGAUGCAAUUGCAUCACUCAAAGAUGAUCCCGCGUUGUAUUAGCUAGUUGGUGAGGUAAAGGCUCACCAAGGCGAUGAUACAUAGCCGACCUGAGAGGGUGAUCGGCCACAUUGGGACUGAGACAAGGCCCAAAAAAAUACGGGAGGCAGCAGUAGGGAAUCAUCGGAAAUGGACGAAAGUCUGACCGAGCAACGCCGCGGGAGUGAAGAAGGUUGUCGGAUCGUAAAACUCUGUUGGUAGAGAAGAACGAUGGUGAGAGUGGAAAGCUCAUCAAGUGACGGUAACUACCCAGAAAGGGACGGCUAACUACGUG
rnacentral:rRNA from 1 species